rnacentral:rRNA from 1 species
AGAGGAAGUAAAAGUNGUAACAAGGUUUCCGUAGGUGAACCUGCGGAAGGAUCAUUACCGAAUUGUCAAACGGGUUGUUGCUGGUCUUCAAACGGGGACAUGUGCACGCUCUGUUUACACAUCCACUCACACCUGUGCACCCUCCGUAGUUCUAUGGUCUGGGGGACCCUGUCUUCCUGCCGUGGUUCUAUGUCUUUACACACACUCUGUAAUAAAGUCUUAUGGAAUGUAUGCCGCGUCUAACGCAAUACAAUACAACUUUCAGCAACGGAUCUCUUGGCUCUCGCAUCGAUGAAGAACGCAGCGAAAUGCGAUAAGUAAUGUGAAUUGCAGAAUUCAGUGAAUCAUCGAAUCUUUGAACGCACCUUGCGCCCCUUGGCUAUUCCGAGGGGCAUGCCUGUUUGAGUAUCAUGAACACCUCAACUCUCAUGGUUCGCCAUGAUGAGCUUGGACUCUGGGGGUUUUGCUGGCCUGCGGUCGGCUCCCCUCAAAUGAAUCAGCCUCCCAGUGUUUGGUGGCAUCACGGGUGUGAUAAAUAUCUACGCUCGUGGUUGUCUGCCAGGUAACCUUUGGUGACAAAGGUUUGCUGGAGCUCACAGAUGUCUCUCCUCGGCGAGGACAGCUUUUUUGAACGUUCGAUCUCAAAUCAGGUAGGACUACCCGCUGAACUUAAGCAUAUCAAUAAGCGGAGGAAAAGAAACUAACAAGGAUUCCCCUAGUAACUGCGAGUGAAGCGGGAAGAGCUCAAAUUUAAAAUCUGGCGUGCCUCUGGUCGUCCGAGUUGUAGUCUAGAGAAGCGUUUUCCGUGCUGGACCGU